UCGAAAUGUCCGCCACUAUUGUUAAUAC
rnacentral:sRNA from 1 species